UUAUGUGGAUACGUACAUACCCCAUUUCCCUUCUUUUUCUUCUUCUCCUUCUUGGUUCGUGACUUCCUUGAUUAAGAUGUUGAACAAAAUUAACUUUCGGUCAACUCGACAUUUCAAGUUUCGAACAAAAGAGUAAAGGACUUUAGUGAGGCAAAGGUUCAAAGAGAUCAGAAGAGUGAAGAUUAGGAGAGGGCAGCAUAAGCUAAGAAGAUCAGAUCAGAACCAUUUAAAAUAGUAGGUUUUUAUAA